UACGGAGGGGGCAAGCGUUGUUCGGAAUUAUUGGGCGUAAAGGGCAUGUAGGCGGUUCGGUAAGUUAAAGGUGAAAUGCCAGGGCUUAACCCUGGAGCUGCUUUUAAUACUGCCAGACUAGAGUCCGGGAGAGGAUAGCGGAAUUCCUAGUGUAGAGGUGAAAUUCGUAGAUAUUAGGAGGAACACCAGUGGCGAAGGCGGCUAUCUGGUCCGGUACUGACGCUGAGGUGCGAAAGCGUGGGGAGCA
rnacentral:rRNA from 1 species